AAAAAUAGAAGAGACAUCCUUCUUCUCCCGCUCACCGUGUGAAUGUGGCUACCUCAGGGCACCAGUUUUCGUUCGGAGAUGGCCCUAUCCGAGACAGUGUAUACGGCAGGGUGACCAAGAGACGUUGAUAUCUUGAAAUAUCUCUUGAGUCCUUUGAAAUGCGACCUGACGUGGCGAGGCCUCCCUGACCAUGGGCUCGCGACCCAUGCACAAUCUUGUGGAGGAGGAUGCAGCAUGGGCCUUUGAAGACUGACUUGGAUGGUAUCGUGGUCUGCAGUGAGUCUGAAGCGCCAGGUCUGAAGAGAUGGCAUGUUCCUGCAACAAGAAAGUCAUGGAAUUUGGUUGGAGGAAUUCCCAUGAUCGGUCUUGCAGGAGGAGGAUGCAGGAUGAGCCUUUGAAGACUGACUUGGAUGGUAUCGUGGCCUGCAACUGACGCUCCUGGUCGGAAGUGAGGGGUGUUCCUGCAACAGGAAGAUAUCUACUUCACUGGAUUCAGUUCAAAGAUCAAUAAAGUGAAUUAAACUUAA